GAAUAUUGCACAAUGGGCGAAAGCCUGAUGCAGCCAUGCCGCGUGGGUGAAGAAGGCCCUAGGGUUGUAAACCCCUUUCAGCGGGGAAGAUAAUGACGGUACCCGCAGAAGAAGUCCCGGCUAACUCCGUGCCAGCAGCCGCGGUAAUACGGAGGGUGCAAGCGUUAAUCGGAGUUACUGGGCGUAAAGCGCGCGUAGGCGGUUUGUUAAGUCAGAUGUGAAAUCCCCGGGCUCAACCUGGGAAUGGCAUUUGAGACUGGCAGGCUAGAGUGUGGUAGAGGUGAGUGGAAUUUCAGGUGUAGCGGUGAAAUGCGUAGAGAUCUGAAGGAACAUCAGUGGCGAAGGCGACUCACUGGGCCAUUACUGACGCUGAGGUGCGAAAGCGUGGGUAGCAAACAGG
rnacentral:rRNA from 1 species